UAUUGAUGCUGAUAAUGUUGAUAAUAGUAUUAAUGGUGAUGUUUCUGCAUCUGCCAGUAUAUAAUGUGAAUAAUGAUAGCCGCGCUCUGAGAUAACCGGCCUGAAUGCAUGUGCGUAAAUCUGAGCCCCGGAUCAGCCUGUGGAGUCCUCACAGGCUAAUCAGUGUCGACGCUGUCCACAUACACUGGAUUUUUUUUACAGAAGAGACUUCCUUUAAGCACAAUAAUCAAUAAAAGCGGAAAGUGUCGUACCUGAUAAACCUGUGCGGACUGCACAGGCUAAUCUGGAACGAUACUUAACGCACAUGUGGACUGCACAGGCUAAUCUGUGGCGAUACUUUACGCACAUGCGGACUUCACAUGCUAAUCUUUGACCAUACUUUACGCACAUGUGAACUGCACAGGCUAAUCUGAGACGAUACCUUACGCACAUGCGGACUGUACAGGCUAAUCUGUGACCAUACUUAACGCACAUGCGAACUGCACAGGUUAAUCCUGGACGAUACUUUACGCUCAUGCGGACUUCACAGGCUAAUCUGCAACGAUACUUUACGCACAUGCGGACUUCACAGGCUAAACUGAGACGAUACUUAACGCACAUGCGGACUUCACAGGCUAAACUGAGACGAUACUUAACGCAUAUGCGGACUUCACAGGCUAAACUGGGACGAUACUUAACGCACAUGCGGACUUCACAGGCUAAACUGAGACGAUACUUAACGCAUAUGCGGACUUCACAGGCUAAACUGGGACGAUUCUUUACGCACAUGCGGACUUCACAGGUUAAACUGGGACGAUACUUUACGCACAUGCGGACUUCACAGGUUAAACUGGGACGAUACUUUACGCACAUGCGGACUUCACAGGCUAAACUGGGACGAUACUUUACGCACAUGCGGACUCCACAGGCUAAACUGGGACGAUACUUUACGCACAUGCGGACUUCACAGGCUAAACUGAGACGAUACUUUACGCACAUGCGGACUUCAUUGGCUAAACUGGGACGAUACUUUACGCACAUGCGGACUUCAUUGGCUAAUCUGGGACGAUACUUUACGCACAUGCAUUAAGCCCGGUUUUACCAGAUAGCUGCGUAUAUUUA